rnacentral:rRNA from 1 species
CAGCCUGAUGCAGCCAUGCCGCGUGUAUGAGAAGGCCUUCGGGUUGUAAAGUACUUUCAGCAGUGAGGAAGGUGGAGUCGUUAAUAGCGGCCUCAUUUGACGUUAGCUGCAGAAGAAGCACCGGCUAACUCCGUGCCAGCAGCCGCGGUAAU